rnacentral:rRNA from 1 species
GAUGAACGCUGGCGGCGUGCCUAAUACAUGCAAGUCGAGCGAACAGACGAGGAGCUUGCUCCUCUGACGUUAGCGGCGGACGGGUGAGUAACACGUGGAUAACCUACCUAUAAGACUGGGAUAACUUCGGGAAACCGGAGCUAAUACCGGAUAAUAUAUUGAACCCAAUGGUUCAAUAGGAAAAGAGGGUUUUGCGGUAACUUAUAGAUGAAUCCGCGCCGCAUUAGCUAGUUGGUAAGGUAACGGCUUACCAAGGCGACGAUGCGUAGCCGACCUGAGAGGGUGAUCGGCCACACUGGAACUGAGACACGGUCCAGACUCCUACGGGAGGCAGCAGUAGGGAAUCUUCCGCAAUGGGCGAAAGCCUGACGGAGCAACGCCGCGUGAGUGAUGAAGGUCUUCGGAUCGUAAAACUCUGUUAUUAGGGAAGAACAAAUGUGUAAGUAACUAUGCACGUCUUGACGGUACCUAAUCAGAAAGCCACGGCUAACUACGUG